rnacentral:lncRNA from 1 species
CAGCCUUGGCCGUCGGUUGCACUAUCGUCCUUAAACCGGCGGAGCAAACCCCCCUUUCCGCUCUCUACUGCGCUCACUUAGCCAAAGAGGCUGGCAUUCCCGACGGUGUUCUGAACGUUGUUCCUGGUUUUGGUUCGACUGCUGGAUCUGCACUUGCAUCUCACAUGGAUGUCGACAAAGUAAGACACUCAUAUAAGACUUUACCUAUGUACGUGAAUUAAACUCGCCGGAGGUACCUUUUGACCUGAAUUCCAAUAUAGAUAUUGUUCACCGGGUCGACUGAAGUGGGUCGGAAAAUCAUGGAAGCAUCAGCAAGGAGUAAUCUGAAACCCUUAUCUCUAGAAUUAGGAGGAAAAUCUCCUCUCGUCAUCUUCGACGACGC